UACGUAGGUGGCAAGCGUUGUUCGGAAUUACUGGGCGUAAAGGGCUCGUAGGCGGCCAACUAAGUCGGACGUGAAAUCCCCAGGCUCAACCUGGGAACUGCGUCCGAUACUGGAUGGCUUGAAUUCGGGAGAGGGAUGCAGAAUUCCAGGUGUAGCGGUGAAAUGCGUAGAUAUCUGGAGGAAUACCGGUGGCGAAGGCGGCAACCUGGACCGACAUUGACGCUGAGGAGCGAAAGCUAGGGGAGCAAACGGG
rnacentral:rRNA from 1 species